rnacentral:rRNA from 1 species
CCUACGGGGGGCAGCAGUGGGGAAUAUUGGACAAUGGGGGGAACCCUGAUCCAGCCAUGCCGCGUGUGUGAAGAAGGCCCUCGGGUGGUAAAGCACUUUCAGUGAGGAAGAACGCCUGGUGGUUAAUACCCAUCAGGAAAGACAUCACUCACAGAAGAAGCACCGGCUAACUCCGUGCCAGCAGCCGCGGUAAUACGGAGGGUGCGAGCGUUAAUCGGAAUUACUGGGCGUAAAGCGCGCGUAGGUGGCUUGAUAAGCCGGUUGUGAAAGCCCCGGGCUCAACCUGGGAACGGCAUCCGGAACUGUCAAGCUAGAGUGCAGGAGAGGAAGGUAGAAUUCCCGGUGUAGCGGUGAAAUGCGUAGAGAUCGGGAGGAAUACCAGUGGCGAAGGCGGCCUUCUGGACUGACACUGACACUGAGGUGCGAAAGCGUGGGUAGCAAACAGGAUUAGAUACCCUUGUAGUC